UUGUAUUAUAUGAUUGAAUAAGAUUUAAUCUUUGUGCCUAUAAAAGGAGACCUCUCCUAAGGUCCUAAGAUCAUCCAAGCCAGCCCCUCUCCACCCCAAGAGAACCUCCCACACCCUCUCUUCCUCCCUUUUUCUCUUCUCCUUAGGCGUUCCCACACCAUACUACUUGGGACGCGCACCCCAAGUUUUGCACACGCCCAAAGCAUUGGGCAGCCCUUCAUCUACUAGUUGUUGGUCUCUUGUAGCACUACAAGGUAAGGAGAAAGGC
rnacentral:lncRNA from 1 species